rnacentral:tRNA from 1 species
GGGGUUAUAGUGCAAUUGGUAGUACAAAAGUCUUCUACAUUUUUGGUCAUGGUUCGAGUCCAUGUUGCUCCA